GAUGAACGCUAGCGGCAGGCCUAACACAUGCAAGUCGAGGGGCAGCAUAAAUGAAGCCUGCUUCAUUGGUGGCGACCGGCGCACGGGUGCGUAACGCGUAUGCAACCUACCCUGUACUGGGGGAUAGCCCGGAGAAAUUCGGAUUAAGACCCCAUAGUAUUAUCAUUUCGCAUGUUAUGAUAAUUAAAGGUUACGGUACAGGAUGGGCAUGCGUCCUAUUAGCUAGAUGGUGAGGUAACGGCUCACCAUGGCUACGAUAGGUAGGGGGCCUGAGAGGGUGGUCCCCCACACUGGUACUGAGACACGGACCAGACUCCUACGGGAGGCAGCAGUGAGGAAUAUUGGUCAAUGGGCGCAAGCCUGAACCAGCCAUGCCGCGUGCAGGAAGAAGGUCCUAUGGAUUGUAAACUGCUUUUAUUUGGGAAUAAACCUCUUUACGUGUAGAGAGCUGAAGGUACCAAAUGAAUAAGCACCGGCUAACUCCGUGCCAGCAGCCGCAGUAAAAC
rnacentral:rRNA from 1 species